rnacentral:rRNA from 1 species
UACGUAGGGUGCGAGCGUUGUCCGGAAUUAUUGGGCGUAAAGAGCUUGUAGGCGGUCUGUCGCGUCUGCUGUGAAAAUCCGGGGCUCAACCCCGGACUUGCAGUGGGUACGGGCAGACUAGAGUGUGGUAGGGGAGACUGGAAUUCCUGGUGUAGCGGUGAAAUGCGCAGAUAUCAGGAGGAACACCGAUGGCGAAGGCAGGUCUCUGGGCAUUAACUGACGCUGAGGAGCGAAAGCAUGGGGAGCGAACAGG